AAUAUUGCACAAUGGGCGCAAGCCUGAUGCAGCCAUGCCGCGUGUAUGAAGAAGGCCUUCGGGUUGUAAAGUACUUUCAGCAGUGAGGAAGGUGGGUAUGUUAAUAGCAUAUUCAUUUGACGUUUAGCUGCAGAAGAAGCACCGGCUAACUCCGUGCCAGCAGCCGCGGUAAUACGGAGGGUGCGAGCGUUAAUCGGAAUUACUGGGCGUAAAGCGCAUGCAGGUGGUUUGUUAAGUCAGAUGUGAAAGCCCGGGGCUCAACCUCGGAAUUGCAUUUUGAAACUGGCAAACUAGAGUACUGUAGAGGGGGUAGAAUUUCAGGUGUAGCGGUGAAAUGCGUAGAGAUCUGAAGGAAUACCGGUGGCGAAGGCGGCCCCCCAUGGACAGAUACUGACACUCAGAUGCGAAAGCGUGGGGAGCAAACAGGAUUAGAUACCCUGGUAG
rnacentral:rRNA from 1 species